rnacentral:tRNA from 1 species
GGGGGUGUGGUGCGCCCGACUGUUAAUCGGGAGAGCCGGUGUGACACCACCGGUUCCGCGAGUUCGAAUCUCGUCACCCUCG